UUUGUGGAAGUGUUUCAUGGGUUCUUCAAGAAAAUCAUCGAGGUAAGUGAUUCUAACUCGGUGUUGGCUAUAUUACACGAAUCCAUUGUUAUUUUCAUCAUUUAAUUAGUGGUUUGAGUUGGAAAUUUAGGAAAAUUUGUGAAAACUUCUUAGACUAAAAUUUGGGGAUUUGAAAGGUAAUUUGAGGUCGGGUUUGAGUAGUUCUUGUAUUGUUGGACUCGUUGUCGAAAGGGCGUUUGGAUUUUAUAGUUUUAGUCGGGUUCCGAGCAGCGAACGUGGGGUUGAACUUUUUAGUUGACUUUUGUAUCUCUUUAAAGAUCAUAACUUUAUUGUUCGAAAUAGUUUUAUAUAGUUUAUAUUUAUUAUAAAAAUAUUUUUUGGCUAGAUUCGAGCCAUUCGGAGUUGGAUAAUCAAGGAAAAGGCUUACUAGUGGAUUGAAUUUGUGUGUUUUGAGGUAAGUCUCCUGUAUAAUCUUAUGAAGGGGAAAUUACCCCGUAGGUGUUAUAUUUAUUAGAUGCUACAUGUUGUGGGAUCUAUACACGUACAAGAUGACGAGUGUCUGUGCGUAUGCUUGAAUUCCUGAUUAUUUCCGAGUAGACUAAGAUUCACUUCAUGUUUUAAAUGUACUAUUUGAGUUAUUCUUUCAUGUUUAAUAACUUUUAUUUCGCAUUACGAUGUGAGAUUAGACUUGCAUAGAGUAAUAGGCUCGUUAUUUUAGAAAAUUGGAUGAGCCAUUUGAUUAGCCGUGAGAAUUGUGCUUCCAUUACGAAUUUCUCCCCCAUUUUGCGUAUUCAUCGCAAAGCUUCCUUAAAAAUCAUAACUCACAUGUAUAUUCGUGAGUGGGGUCAAGGACCCAUUAAGCUUCUUAUUCUAUUAGGAUUUGGUCGGUCGCCUCGACAUUUUUUGUAAAUCACUCUUAUGGGAUCGGGUCGUUCACUUCGACGGUAUCAUGUAUCAUAUUCUUAUGGGAGCAAGUCGUUCGACUCGGCAGAAUUAUGUAGGACACUCUUAUAGGAUCGGGUCAUUCGCCUCAACAGUAACAUGUAUCAUCUUCUUAUGGGAUCCGGCCAUUCGCCUCGACAAGAUUAUGUAACACACUUUUGUAGGAUGAGACCAUUCAUUUCGGCAGGAUGUUGUAACACACUCUUAUGCGAUCGGGCCAUUAGUCGCGGCAACACCAUGUAUCACAUUUUUAGGGGAUUGGGUCGUUCGCCUCGGCAUUUCUAUAAAAAAACUCCUAUAGGAUCUAGUCGUUCUCCCUGGUAACUUUUUGAAAUAUUCUUAUGGGAUCGGGUCGUUCACCACGGCAAAAUCAUGCGUAAUAUUUGACAAGAAGCCAUUCUAUCUGUGAGUUUUCUUGACUUGAGUUGUGAUGACCUAUCUGGUGGGACAAUAUUAUAUAUACUCCAUCUGGGGAGGUAACCAAUAUUUGAGGACUUAUGUUUAUUGUUCAGAGGAGGAUAGUAUCAUGUACCGAUAUUUGUUCUCACUGUUGUAAUUACCAUGCUUCAUACUUGUCUACUUUUUACUGUACUUGUUUUGUUGGACCACUAGUAAGUGUUUAUGUCGAUCCCUCUUCACUACUUCUCCGGGGUUAGACUAGAUACUUAUUGGGUACGUGUUUAUUUAUCUACUCAUGCUAUACUUCUGCACUUAUUGUGAUGUAUACAUAUUUUUUCCAGUCUUUUGGGCGCAAAGGCACAGCUAUUGUGGGGACUUUACGGUGACAUGCAUCCCAAGUUACAAUCGGUAGCAUAUGGAGUCUCCAUUAUUAUUGUUUGCAUUAUCCUGUCUAUCUUGUAUUCCAGACAUAUGUUGUAUUGUUAUUAAACCUUCUAGUAAAUGCUCAUGCGGUGUUGACACUGGUUUUGAGGUUUUAUAGUGGAUGUUCAAUAUUGUAGUUCACGUUACUAUCAUCAUUUCACUUUAUAAUUCAUUUAUAUUAAGAAAUUGGUAAAUGAUAGCAUAUGUUUCCAUGAGUGUUGGAUUUUUCUCUGUUAAUGGGAUUCUUGAUUUCAAAAAUAAUAAAAUGAAUAGUUAAUUUGGUAGCUCACAAUUGGCUUGCCUAACGGCGACGUUAAGCGUCACCGUGGCCUAUAGUGGAUUUUGGGUCGUAACAACUUGGUACCAGAACGUUAGGUUCACUUAGGUCUCAUGAGUCAUGAGAAAGUCUAGUAGAGUCUUGCGGAUCAGUACGGAGAUGCAUGUACUUAUCUCAAAAGGCUACAUGGAUGUUAGGACCACUUCCCUUCUUGAUUCCUCAUCGUGCUAUUUGAUUCAAUUGAAGCUUAUGCCUUCAUUUCCUUCCUAUUCAUUCUCAUACGGUGUAGAGCGCUUGUUAUCAAUUGGGAAUCAAUGAUGAUAUGCUUUUCCUAGAGAUGCAAGCAUACCAUUAUCGUCAUCUUGUGGAGGAGUAUUCUGUCAAUUCAGCCUAGUGUUUGCCUACGGUCAAGAUUUGAUAUCUCCGAAUUUGGUGGAAUUCAUUAAUAUUGUGGUGUCGCCGUCCUUGAUUGAAUGCACUAAGGCUCAUCGCCAUGUUGGUCUUCAUUUGUUUGCCUCUGGGCACUGUGUUAUAAGAUGGAAUCUAAGAGGAAGUUAACAGAGAUGGUUCUCUGUUGCGACUUUGGGAUCGAAUCGGCAUUUCCAGUGUUGAUUGUUUGACGGAUAUGAUCUCUGAGGUGGUUUCUACGCUAAGGAAUUUAAAUGUGACGAGAAGGGAUUGAUAUGAACUUAGGAAAAAGUGAAGUAUUCGAUCAUUGUCUUAGAUACAAUACGGCUUUAAGUUUCAAAUGCGUUAUUGGACAUUCUGGUGAUAUUAAUGAAUGAAUGGAUUAUUACGGCUAGUGGAUCAGUGUGGACCCAGGAAGGUUAGUUGAUUUCAUGAUAGAUGUAACAAUAGUAAUGGCUUUGGAGGAGGUCGAUAUGAAUUUAUACAUAUGGGCUAUCCUAGGUGAGCAGGUUAGCGGUUGCGUAGUAUUGAUGAGGUUCCUAUGAAGAUGUAACGACCCGACAUGUUCGUUUUGAACAUUUGCACUUCUUUUGUAGCUUGGGGAAACAAAUAGCUUUGUAUGAUGUAUUAGGACUUGUGCGCAAAAUUUUUGUUCAUUCUGAGUUGAUUUGAUAUGUUUCGAUCUAAAGUUCAUUAAGUUUGAUUUCAGGUGCAUUUCGUCGUUUGAUAUUGUUAUAUGUGAUUUGAAUCCUCGAGUAGGUCUAUAUUAAGAUACUGAACUUUUUGUAUGUUUAGACGGGGUCCUGAGGGAAUCAGGUGAGUUUUAGAUAGUUUUGGGUUGUGUUGCGCUCGUUUUUCUUAUGUUUUGAUGUUUGUUUUUUAAGCAUAAAUGGUACGACAUUGAACAAAUGAGCUCUGAUUUCUGUUUUUAUUUAAAAAUUAGAUCCAUAUCGUAAUUAUGGAUCCAUAGAAAAAAGAAUCAUCAAUUUUAUACACGUAUGAGGAUCUUAUGGUCAUUUUACUAAGAACUGAAUUGCCAGAUUUUUCAUAUUAAUUACGUAAUUGCCACUUCUUCUGAUUUGAAAAUAUGCACCAUUUUCAAAUAUUGAAACCAACAUAUCUCCUUCAAUAUAAGGUCAAAUGAGAGUGAUUCAAGAGCCUAACUUGACUAGAAUUUCACAAGGAAUCCACUAGAGGCAUCAAAAGUGAGUUUCGAGAUCAUUUGACAUAAGAAACGAGGCAGAACAAUAUUAAAAUAAGGGUUUUGUGCAUUUAACAGAAUUUGAGUUGGGGAGCUUGCAAUUGGGCAAUUUUUGAGGCGGUUUUAAACAUAUGCAUUGGGGUAAGUGUUCUCUACUCGGUUUUGGUUAUAUUUCAUAAAUCGAUCUUUGAUUUUAGCUUUUGGUUGAUGAAUUUUACAUAAGAAAUUGGGGGUUUUGGCCUAAAGUUUCAUAAUAUGAAUUUUUGAGUUUUGAGUUUUGGCCUAAAGUUUCAAAAGUGAAACUGGUAUGGUUGAACUUAUAAUUGAAUGGAUUGAUGAAUUUUGUGAGUUUUAUCGGGUUGCGAGGUGCAUGACCGGGUUGGGUUGUUGAUUAAAUUCGACCUUUUUCAAUUUGAAUCGGGUCCUUUAGCAUUGUUUGAUUUAUUUUAGUUUUUUUAUAAGUUUCGAGCCAUUCAGAGGCCAGAAUGCGCGUGAUGGCAUUCUUGAAGCAUCGCUUGGCUUGCUCGGUGUCGGAAUUGGCUUGUUUAAGAUAAGUAACUCUUCUAAACUUAGUGCUAAAACCCUGAAUUAUGUGCUAUGUGAUUGGUAUUGAGGUGACUCACAUACUAGUGACGGGCGUGAGGGCGUGCACCCUAUGAAUUGUGACUAUGUUGUUCCCAUGGCACUAAAUAGUGGCCCUAUUCUUGUUGAUAUCUAUAUUUUCACCAUGCGAUUAAGUAUCUGAGAUGUCAAAUCAUGAUCUAUAUCAUGCUUUGGAAAUCCCGAAUUAAAUGUUACGUGAUUGAUGUUUAGGUGACGCACAUGCUAAGUGAUGGGCGUGUGGGCGUGCACCAUGUGAGUUGUGACUCUAUUGUUUCAGGGGCGGUGAAUAGUGUGCCUAUUUUUAUUGAUAGAGACACAUAAUGAUCGUUUCUUGAUGUCAUCUCAUUGAUUUCAUUUGUAUAUUGUACUCACUCACAUUCAUGUAUUCAUAUCAUAUCUCAGUCUCAGUUAUUAUUUAUCGAUACAUCAUAUCAUUGUUCCGAGUCAAUUUUUUUGACAUUGUGAUCCUGUGAGUGAGACAGGAGAUUGAUGACUGAGUGAGGUCGAGAGCAUGAUUAUAAGUGAUAGUUAUUGUAUCGGGCUCCACGGCACCGUAGAUUAUUAAUUUUGCCUUUAUUGGCUUGUUAUAGCACUUGGGCUGAAGGAUCCCCUCCGGAGUCUACACACCCACAGUGAGCGCGGAUAAUAUUAAUUAGGGAUGAAUCUUUCUUAGACAUGGAUCUUGUCUGAAGCAUUUACACACCUAGAGAUGGAUCUUCUCCAUGGGUCCGGAUUGGCCUUCCUCAGUACUGAGUGACUGAUGGUCAGUGAUAUAUAUAUAUAUAUAUAUAUAUAUAUAUAUAUAUAUAUCUUCUCCAUGAGGCUGGAAUGGCCUUCCUCGGUACUGGAUGACUGCGUUCAGUGGUGUGUGUGUAUAUAUAUAUAUAUAUUUCGAGAUGGAUCUUCCAUGUGCCAAAUGGUCCAUAAACAGUAUCGAGCGGUUGAUCACAAUGAGAGGAAAGUGUGAGAUAGUGAGAUUAAGUACUCUGAGAGUGUGCGUACAUAAUUCAUCUAUGAGAUACAUGGCAAUGGCAUGUAUACAUGCAUAGAGAAACAUUUUCCUCAUGUUGUUUGGUGUCCCGUCAUUCAUGACAUUUUGCACACUUUGAUAUGUGGCCAUAGAGAGGCAUCACACACUUGCUAUCUGGAUAGAAAAUGAAACAUAUUAUUUAUUGUGAAAAGGGGUUUUGGAAAAGAAAAUACAGUUUUUUUAAACCGUCUCAUAUUUCACGAUGUUUUCGGUAAAGAAUCUGAGUUUUCACUAAUACUCUUCAAAGGCGGAACUAUUUUGGGAAAACUGUGAAAAAGCUGAACAUUUUGUCUUUGAGUUACUUCCUUAUUUAUAUGUAUUAAAUUGUUAUGAACUGUUAUUGAAUAUUGGCAUUGGACCCGACCUAUGUUCUAGCUCGUCACCACUUUCAACCUGAGGUUAGGUUUGUUACUUUUUGAAUACAUGGGGUCGGUUGUACUCAUAUUGCACUUCUUGCGUAUUGUGUGCAGAUCCCGUAUAUCGAUGUUGCUGAGCUCGAUGGUUGCUAGAUUGGAAGGUGUACCUGCAUCCUUGAUGUAGCUGCCUCUUGUUCAUGGUAGCCUUAGCUUUAUAAAACUCUGUUAUGUACUUUUCAAAC
rnacentral:lncRNA from 1 species